rnacentral:rRNA from 1 species
AUUGAACGCUGGCGGCAGGCCUAACACAUGCAAGUCGAGCGGAUGAAGGGAGCUUGCUCCUGGAUUCAGCGGCGGACGGGUGAGUAAUGCCUAGGAAUCUGCCUGGUAGUGGGGGAUAACGUCCGGAAACGGGCGCUAAUACCGCAUACGUCCUGAGGGAGAAAGUGGGGGAUCUUCGGACCUCACGCUAUCAGAUGAGCCUAGGUCGGAUUAGCUAGUUGGUGGGGUAAAGGCCUACCAAGGCGACGAUCCGUAACUGGUCUGAGAGGAUGAUCAGUCACACUGGAACUGAGACACGGUCCAGACUCCUACGGGAGGCAGCAGUGGGGAAUAUUGGACAAUGGGCGAAAGCCUGAUCCAGCCAUGCCGCGUGUGUGAAGAAGGGCUUCGGAUUGUAAAGCACUUUAAGUUGGGAGGAAGGGCAGUAAGUUAAUACCUUGCUGUUUUGACGUUACCAACAGAAUAAGCACCGGCUAACGUCGUGA